UUACAAUGCAAAUACUUGCAAAAAGCCCGACUUCGGUAAAUGGCGUGACUGCAAUGGCAUCGGCGCUGGCUACUAUUACGACGACGGCAAGAAAUAUUGCGUUGUACUGACAGAUACUGGUUGCCCGAACCAAACACUGUUUCGUACACGCAAGAAUUGUACCGAUGUUUGUGAAUCAGAUGAAGGGCCAGAGCAUUGCGCCAAGGGCCCCGAAAGCCCUUGUAGCGGCACAGACAGGGGAAGGAAAAGAUACUUUUACAACAUAACGACGCAAGUUUGUUCCGCCUACCCGAGAUGUGGAGUAACACGCCCUUCGCUUGGGGAAAAUUCUUUCUAUACCAACAAUUCCUGUCAACAGGACUGUGGGGGCUUUACGGAAAACGACGUGAAGAGCCAGAAUUGAACCUCCCGACGAUGCCUAAUAUCAACUCUAGAGGAAUAACACUUUUCGUGACGCUCACGGUUGUUCUUCGGUGGAGGCAAUACUGAAGCAAUAAUCAAAUUUAAGUAGCUGGAAUAUUUUUGCAAAAGCUGUACAUACUGGGAAGAUA
rnacentral:lncRNA from 1 species